rnacentral:rRNA from 1 species
UACGUAGGGUCCGAGCGUUGUCCGGAAUUAUUGGGCGUAAAGGGCUCGUAGGCGGCCAACUAAGUCGGACGUGAAAUCCCCAGGCUCAACCUGGGAACUGCGUCCGAUACUGGAUGGCUUGAAUCCGGGAGAGGGAUGUGGAAUUCCAGGUGUAGCGGUGAAAUGCGUAGAUAUCUGGAGGAACACCGGUGGCGAAGGCGACAUCCUGGACCGGUAUUGACGCUGAGGCGCGAAAGCCAGGGGAGCAAACGGG